rnacentral:tRNA from 1 species
UCUGUAGCUCAGUUGGUAGAGCAACGCAUUCGUAAUGCGUGGGUCGUGGGUUCAAGUCCCAUCGG